rnacentral:rRNA from 1 species
GACGAACGCUGGCGGCGUGCUUAACACAUGCAAGUCGAACGGUGAACCUCUUCGUAGUGGAUCAGUGGUGAAUGGGUGAGUAACACGUGGGCAACCUGUCCCCGUCUCUGGGAUAACUCCAAGAAAUUGGGGCUAAUACCGGAUGUUCACCGCUUCCCGCACGGUUGGUUGUGGAAGGGUUUUCUGGCUGGGGUUGGGCCGGGGGCCCAUCCGCUUGUUGGUGGGGUAGGGGACUACCAAGGCGACGACGGGUAGCCUGCCUGGGAGGGUGACCGGACACGCUGGGACUGAGACACGGCACAGACUCGUACGGGAGGCAGGGGUGGGGAAGAUAGCGCAAGGGGAGGAGGCAUGGCGCAACGAAGCCGCGUGGGGGAUGACGGCCUUCGGUUUGUAAACCUAAUUCAGCAGGGACGAAGCGAUAGUGACGGUACCGGGAGAAGAAGCACCGGCCAACUACGUG